rnacentral:tRNA from 1 species
AUAUAAAUAUUGUAUGUUGCAUAUAAAGUUUUGAUCUUUAAGGUUAUGGUUUAAUCCCAUAUUUAUAUA